UGUAAAAUAAGCUAAAUAUUAAGCUUUUGGGUUCAUACCCCAAAUAUGAAUGAACUAUUCUUUUACAA
rnacentral:tRNA from 1 species